rnacentral:rRNA from 1 species
AACAGGAUUAGAUACCCUGGUAGUCCACGCCGUAAACGAUGUCGACUUGGAGGUUGUUCCCUUGAGGAGUGGCUUCCGGAGCUAACGCGUUAAGUCGACCGCCUGGGGAGUACGGCCGCAAGGUUAAAACUCAAAUGAAUUGACGGGGGCCCGCACAAGCGGUGGAGCAUGUGGUUUAAUUCGAUGCAACGCGAAGAACCUUACCUACUCUUGACAUCCAGAGAACUUAGCAGAGAUGCUUUGGUGCCUUCGGGAACUCUGAGACAGGUGCUGCAUGGCUGUCGUCAGCUCGUGUUGUGAAAUGUUGGGUUAAGUCCCGCAACGAGCGCAACCCUUAUCCUUUGUUGCCAGCGGUUCGGCCGGGAACUCAAAGGAGACUGCCGGUGAUAAACCGGAGGAAGGUGGGGAUGACGUCAAGUCAUCACGGCCCUUACGGCCAGGGCUACACACGUGCUACAAUGGCGCAUACAAAGAGAAGCGACCUCGCGAGAGCAAGCGGACCUCAUAAAGUGCGUCGUAGUCCGGAUUGGAGUCUGCAACUCGACUCCAUGAAGUCGGAAUCGCUAGUAAUCGUAGAUCAGAAUGCUACGGUGAAUACGUUCCCGGGCCUUGUACACACCGCCCGUCACACCAUGGGAGUGGGUUGCAAAAGAAGUAGGUAGCUUAACCUUCGGGAGGGCGCUUACCACUUUGUGAUUCAUGACUGGGGUGAAGUCGUAACAAGGUAACC